AUGUCAGUGGAAAUACUUUUUCUCCAGUCAAAUCAUCUAACUGGUUUGCUUCCACAAUUACCAAGAACAAUUGUAUUCUUGGACAUCUCCAGAAAUUGUUUAAGUGGGUUUGUGCCAUCAAAUUCACAAGCUCCAUCUUUAGAGGCUGUCGUUCUCUUUUCCAACUGUAUAAUUGGGGCUAUUCCAAGGUCAUUUUGUCAGUGGUCAAAUCUGCGGCUCUUAGAUCUUUCAAACAAUCUGCUUGUAGGGCAACUUCCUGACUGUGGCAGAAAAGAACAGAGACGAUGGCAUAACACAAGUAACAACACUUCAAGGGUCAGAAUCACAAGCCAUUUCGGUUUGGAAGUCCGUACCCUCCUUCUAAGAAACAAUAGUCUUUCAGGUGGAUUCCCUUCACUCCUACGACGGUGCCGAAAUCUUCUUUUCCUCGACCUAGCUCAAAAUAAAUUGAGUGGAGACCUACCUGCAUGGAUUAGUGAUCGAAUGGCAGCUUUGAUCAUGCUACGCUUAAGAUCGAACAACUUCUCAGGUCACGUUCCAAUUGAAAUAACUGGACUUCUUGCUCUUCGCAUCCUUGACCUAGCUAAUAACACCUUUUAUGGGGAUAUUCCACAAAGUUUAGUGAACUUCGAAGCUUUGACUGCCAUUAAUGAAGCUGUAGAUCCAGAAAACAAUCCUUUCACAGAAGAAUAUAUUGGAGCGAUGUCGUACGACAAUAUGGGGCUGACUGGUGAUAGUUUAUCAGUUGUCAUAAAAGGCCAAGUGCUUGCCUACAGGGAGAAUAGUGUAUAUUUGAUGAGUAUUGAUUUAUCCUGCAACAGUUUAACUGGACAAAUCCCAGAAGAUAUUACCUCUCUUGUUGGACUCAUAAACCUGAAUUUGUCAUCAAACUUCUUGAGCGGAAAUAUCCCAUACAAGAUUGGAAAUCUGCAAGCACUCGAGUCUCUUGAUCUCUCAAAGAACCAGCUUUCUGGUGAAAUUCCUUUGGGCUUAUCAAAUUUGACAUCAUUGAGCUAUAUGAACUUGUCAUAUAAUGGUCUAUCAGGUAGAAUACCAUUGGGGCGUCAACUAGAUACCCUUAAAACAGAUGAUCCAGCUUCUAUGUACAUUGGCAACCCUGGUCUUUGUGGACGUCCCCUUCCAAAGCAAUGUCUUGGAGAUCAACCAACUCAAGGAGAUUCAGUAAGAUGGGAUACAUAUGGUCCAUCUCAAAUGGAUAUUUUGUUUAGCCUGAUUGUGGGGUUUGUGGUAGGCCUCUGGAUGGUAUUAUGUGGCCUUGUGUUCAUGAAGAAAUGGAGGUACACUUAUUUCAGGUUACUUGAUAAGUUAUCUGACAAGGUCUAUGUCAUCUCUGUUGUUACUUGGCACAAAUGGUCUAGAAACAUUGGCGAAAAUUAA
rnacentral:rRNA from 1 species